AGGGCUCCCACAAGCUUAAAAUCUUCUGUUAUUGGUCCAGCUAUUAAUGUUAAUGAUUACUUACCUGUGCUCUGAUUAUUACAUGGUAAUUAGGGUUACAGAUUUGGCGAGCCCAGCCAGGAGAGCUCAGUUGAGUGUAUAAUUGUCAGUUAUUUUGUGUGUGCCUGUUGUUGGACUU